UACCCGAGCCCGUAUUUGAAUCCUGGCUCCGAGAUACCGGCUACCUCGAAAUUCUCGAUCAACGGACUACCGAUCUCCACCGCCACUCUUCCACCGCCACCACAGCCGCCGCCUCUGCUUCCUCUUCCGACGCUGCUGCUGUUACUAAUUCUGCCGCCGCCGCAGUUUCAAUCUCCAACGGGGUCUUUGUUCAGAUAUUUUCAUAUCUUGGAACCUUACUGUCGCUUUUUACGCUUAAUCCGUUUGCGAAGCUCACGUCGGAUGAUUUUUCCGGUGAUACGCCGUCGUGGACUCGACUGUUCGUCGGGUCGUUGGAUUCAUACUCGUUUCCUUCGUCGCCUUCUCAGGCUCGGCUUAGAGUCCACGAGAAUGUGAAACGCUAUGCCCGCAAUUAUACCUCUCUCUUCCUCCUCUUCUUCGCUUGCUCUCUGUAUGCUCUCUCUCUCUCUCUACACAUACACACACACAUACACAUAUACACACACAUUAUGUAUGUAUAUUUGUGUGUCUUGACUUUUUAAGCAUGUAUGUGGACAUUGACAAGUAUAUGUUAUCGAUUGUAAUUUGUACUAUUAAUAAUGGUUAAAAUUUGUGCUUGUGCGAUAAGUUGAAUAUUGGAUUUGUUUUAAGCAGUACACCUGAAACCGGUCCGAACGAAUUAGAAGGAAUAUAGAGAAUUCAUAUAACUGACUCCAACUAGUUUAGAAUUGAGUUGUUGGUUGAUUGAUCGAUUGACUUUGUAUGAGAAGUUUGACGUUGUUAGGCUCUGAGAGCUAAAUGAGGCUCACUCGGAGGAUAGUGGAUUUAGAUAGUUCUUUUUGAUAAGGAUUUGGAUAGUUCUUAAUUUAAGUUAUAAAGCACUCUACGUAAUUUCUUUCUUCCUCAAGAAUAUAUCAUUUGCAUGACAUAAAGAACAUGUAUACGGUUUUUGGUAUAUAUUUAUAUGUGCCAAUUGAAAUUUGAAAGCUGAAGCAAUUGUAAUCUAAAAGCUAGGGUUUCACAUAGGACAAAGUUUCAGUUAUUGGGUGAUAUGUUCAAGCCCUUUAGAUUUCAGAGUACUUGUCAAACAAAAAAGAUGUUAAGGGCUUGGAGAUUUGAAGAUAGUACUUGGUCCAAAUUUAGCAAAUAUUAUGUAGCUGCAGGAUUUAAUUUCUGUUGCUUGGUUUCUUGAUUUUAGUGCAAUUUGAUUGUUAGUUGAAUGUUGAUAAAUUUGGGUUACAGGUACCAGAAGCUGCUUGCGCUUGUAGGGUUGAUAUUAUGUUUGGCGCUUUGGGAUGUAUUAAAGUUAUGUGGAGAUCGUUGGGGAUUAGAGCAGCGCCCUGUAAUCAGACAAAGCUUGAUUCGCAUUGCUCAGUGUGGUGAGUCGAUAUUCUUUCGUGCUUCCCCCCCCCCCCCCCCCCCCCGACCAAAAAAAAAAAAGAAAGAAAGAGGAAAAAAUGGGGUGCCACUCUCUUAAAUGAUUCAGGUCCCAGCAUUCUAUCUGUGUAUAUUGGUGAUGAAUAAUAUGAUCGUAGCUUUGACUGUUUUAUCAUAUGGCUUGUGAUUUAUCCUAUGUGUUAACUGAUCCUGAUCUUUAAGCUUCUCUUCAACCUUUUGAAUAUUGUCCAUAUCUGUUUUCCUUCUACCAAAUGGCAAACCGUACUCCUCUAAACUGGAGGCUCUUAUGCCAAAUUUUGGUUGAGAUAAAAUGGUGUUCCAGAGGCAUUGCAUUUGCAAUGUAAUGGAUGCUCUUAAGACCUUUCACCAAGAUCACUAGAAGUCAGGAUCAAGGAAAAAUAAUCCAACCACUAAGCUAAAAGUAUGUAAUGAGAUGGUACUACGUAAUUGAUCCAGAUGUGAGCAAUUAACUAACGAGUCCAUCAAGGGGAGCAGGGAUAUAUGGUUGGUCUUCUCCAAACCUGUUCUAUCUUGCUCCAAAAGUAUCCUUUAACUGGAAAUUUUUGCGAGAAUGUUAAUUCAAGUAAAAUGUCU
rnacentral:lncRNA from 1 species